rnacentral:tRNA from 1 species
AAUUAAUAAGCUUAUUAAAGCAUUUGUUUUGAAAACUUAAGAAAGAAGAAUAAUCUUCUAUUAAUUU